CCACGACGACAUGUUAGGAUUUUGAGUGACAACGAUGCUUCUCCAUUUGAGCGUUCUGUCCUGGAGUCUGUGCUUCAUUUGCCCUCUACAGAAGCUACUGAUUGCGUGGAGAAUGUUGUCAAUGAGAAUUCUUCCGUGGAAAGCAUGUCCCAUUUAUCCAAUGCAGAAGCUGCGAAUUGUGUCGAAAACAGUGCAGUUGGUUCUCAAGUAAUUGAUUGUGGUAUACAGUCGAAAGUAGAAAUUGAAGACAAGGUGUCCGAAACUUGCAAUUUUUCUCAGACAUUGUGCACGAAUUAAAACGUAAACUGAAGUGUGUCUGUGAAAAACUUCGAAGAAGAGAGAAGAAAGUGUUUUCCAUGGAUGACACCAUAAGUUCAUCGAAGGAG